rnacentral:lncRNA from 1 species
UUCCUUAAUAUUUUGUGUUGUCUGUGGUGUUAGUUGUUAUUUGUUGACUAGUCAUUAAGCCUUUUUAUCUGUUAUUUGGCUCUUUCAUUGUUUAUUAUGCUUAGACUCAUCGUUGGUAUAUGAUGACUGAAGGUUGAAAUCUGUGUCUGUAUUUGAAUGAAAUAUAUAUAUAUAUAUUAAUUAAUAAUUAACAGCUUUUCCAUUUGAGAUUACAUUCAAGGUUUGCUACCUCCUUUUGUUAUUUACUGUUUUGUGAUACACGGGUCUAUCUGAAACAGUCUCUCUGCCUCCUGAGGUAGGUGAGGUAAAGGUCAGGUCUGCGUACACUCUAUCCUCCUCAGAACCCACUUGUGCGAUUACAUUGGUUAUGUUGUUGUUGUGAUAGCUGGGUGUAUCAGGUAGUCUUUAUGUGCACAAGAUGGGGGUAAGGCUGCAUACACACCAUCCUCCAAGACAAUUUCACUAAGUAUGUUGGAGAUGGAUACCUUAGGCUGAGGGGUGUCAGGUGGCAUUGUUUCGUCGGAAAUUUUAUUGAAUGUGUCUACAUAAUUAGAAAGAUACAAUCAAAGUAAAGGUUAUAUUGAAUAAAAUGACACUACUUAAAGCAAAAUGCCGCGCAGUUCUAUUGGUUAGGCGCCUCAAUUUUCGGUAGACACUGUGAGUUUGAAUCUCAGCACCUGCGCUAUUCAAUUUUUUAGUAAAAAUUUUCAUUACUCCCUCAGUUCCUAAAUAAGUAGUGUUUUAGCCUUUUUAUUUUGUUCCUAAAUAGGCAAGAAGCCAUAUGAUAUUCUUCCAAUUUUAUCCCCUUUUUAAAUAAUGAGAAUCUUACAUAACCAAGAAAUUAUAAUAAAGAUUUGCAUCUUUUUCAAGAUAUUUAUUAAGAGAAAGUUAGUAAAAACGCUCUUUGUUUUCUAGGAAUGACUAGUUUCUUAAGAGGUGUGCCCAAGCUUAAAAUGCCACUUAUUUUGGAUCGGAGGGAGUAUUGUUAUUUGGCUCAGGUUCGAACAAGGGAAGUCUUAGAAAUUAAUAAAGCUGUAAACCAAUUAGCCCAAAACACCAUAUUUUAAAUAUCGGGAUAAGAUUAUAUUAGAGUGCUUAAAGAAAGAUGUUGCUCCUUUCCUAUAUGUUUUUUCUUUUUAGCGAAUUUAUAUCGUUAGGUACUAGAUAGUGUGUCUUAGCGGCCUUCUAUUAAUAAUAAAAAUUUCUCAUCAGGGUUAGUCAUAAGUAAGGGGACUAAGUCUUACCUUAUCAAUCUUAAUGAGGUAGCAAACAUCUAUUGAUUAACCCUAUUGUUUCUGUAGUUAAUUGGGUGUUAAAAAACUUUCUUUCUUGAUAAUAAACCUUAUUAAAGAUUGAUUUGCAAAAUCAAAUGAAUGAUGACUUUUUGAUUGAUCGGUUGGUGCCUUAUAUAGAAAUUUUUUUUAGCAUAAUAAAAAUGAGGUUAUGUUGAAUACAUUUAAAAAAUGAAAUCUCAUCAAGGAGAUUUAUAGUAAUAUACGUGAGUUGUGCUUUAUUUAUAUUAUGUUCUUUUUUGAUAAGCCGUUUUAAUAUUUUAUUUAUUUAUUUAUUUUCAUUUAAUAUGUGAAAUUGCAUAUGAAAAAUUCUGCGUAUGCCACUGGUUUGUUGUGGUUGUAGUACUGUUUUGUGAUAGCUUCUGGUACUAUGCAUUUUUCUUCUGGUUCAUUAUUUUUCAUCACUGGCAUGGCAGAGAGUGAGAAUCGAAUAGCUAGAAAAUGUUUGUGUUGUAGUGCAAUGCCUCCUAUAUAUGAUAUGUUACAUUCUGCUUUGGCUAUGGUCUUUUGUGUUAACAAUAAAAAUAGAUGGUUCUUUAGUGUUUCUAGUUAGCCAUAGAUUCUGUCAUCAUUCUGUCCUUUGAGCUCAUUUUCCAUGUGUUUGUGUGAUAUCUCGUGACUUGAGCCGGGGGUCUUUCGGAAACAGCCUUUCUACUUCAUCAGAGGUAGAGGUAUGGACUGCGUACAUCUUACCCCCCCAGACCCCACUAAGUGGGAAUACACUGGGUUUGUUGUUGUUGUUGUUAUAUAGGAGGGUAGAGUAGGGUAUUUGAUUUAGCUCUUUCAAAAUCAGGGAUUUACUUGGAACCCCUGAAAUGAUUUCUCAUGUGCUUGAUGCAAAAAAUUCUCAUUUUGUAGUUGUCUUCGUAUGCUUUGCUUUGAUGACCAUGUGUCUUCUUGGUAUUAUUAUAUCUCAAGAAACAUUUCAGAAGUUCUGUUGGGUCUCAUAUACAAUUUAAGUGUACUUUUGUGUAAUAAUUAUAUUGUAAAAAAAUAUCGUUCCUUUUAUGUGUGCUCUGCUGUUGAUACUUCAUCCAUAAUGUGUUUGCUUCCAUCUUUAUAUUGGAAUUAUAUGGGGCAGCUGUUUUAAUUUUACUUACAUUUAGG